rnacentral:rRNA from 1 species
CCUACGGGUGGCAGCAGUGGGGAAUAUUGGGCAAUGGGCGCAAGCCUGACCCAGCCAUGCCGCGUGGAUGAUGAAGGCCUUAGGGUUGUAAAGUCCUUUCGUCGGGGAAGAUGAUGACGGUACCCGAAGAAGAAGCUCCGGCUAACUUCGUGCCAGCAGCCGCGGUAAUACGAAGGGAGCUAGCGUUGUUCGGAAUCACUGGGCGUAAAGCGCGCGUAGGCGGCUUCGCAAGUCAGAGGUGAAAUCCUGAGGCUUAACCUCAGAACUGCCUUUGA